rnacentral:rRNA from 2 species
AGCCUGAUCUAGCCAUGCCGCGUGAGUGAUGAAGGCCCUAGGGUCGUAAAGCUCUUUCGCCAGGGAUGAUAAUGACAGUACCUGGUAAAGAAACCCCGGCUAACUCCGUGCCAGCAGCCGCGGUAAUACGGAGGGGGUUAGCGUUGUUCGGAAUUACUGGGCGUAAAGCGCGCGUAGGCGGACCAGAAAGUUGGGGGUGAAAUCCCGGGGCUCAACCUCGGAACUGCCUCCAAAACUCCUGAUCUAGAGUUCGAGAGAGGUGAGUGGAACUCCGAGUGUAGAGGUGAAAUUCGUAGAUAUUCGGAAGAACACCAGUGGCGAAGGCGGCUCACUGGCUCGAUACUGACGCUGAGGUGCGAAAGUGUGGGGAGCAAACAGGAUUAGAUACCCUGGUAGUCCACACCGUAAACGAUGAAUGCCAGUCGUCGGGCAGUAUACUGUUCGGUGACACACCUAACGGAUUAAGCAUUCCGCCUGGG